UGGGGAAUAUUGCACAAUGGGCGCAAGCCUGAUGCAGCCAUGCCGCGUGUAUGAAGAAGGCCUUCGGGUUGUAAAGUACUUUCAGUCGGGAGGAAGGUGGUAAGGUUAAUAACCUUAUCAAUUGACGUUACCGACAGAAGAAGCACCGGCUAACACCGUGCCAGCAGCCGCGGUAACACGGAGGGUGCACGCGUUAAUCGGACUUACUUGGCGUAAAGCGCACGCAGGCGGUUUGUGAAGUCAGAUGUGAAAUCCCAGGGAUCAAGCUGGGAACUGCAGCUGAUACUGGCAAGCUUGAGUCUCGUAGCGGCGAGUAGAAAUCCAGGUGUAGCGGUGAAAUGCGUAGAGAUCUGGAGGAAUACCGGUGGCGAAAGCGGCCCCCUUGACGAAGACUGACGCUCAGGUGCGAAAGCGUGAGGAGCAAACAGG
rnacentral:rRNA from 1 species